GCCUGGGUGGCUCAAUCAGUUGAAUGUCUGACUUCAACUCAGGUCAUGAUAUUGUGGCUCGUGAGUUCGAGUCCCACAUUAGGCU
rnacentral:tRNA from 1 species